rnacentral:piRNA from 1 species
UGCGCCCAGGGCAACUGAUAGGAUUAGGGG